UACGGAGGGUCCAGGCGUUAUCCGGAUUUAUUAGGUUUAAAGGGUGCGUAGGCGGCCCAUUAAGUCAGUGUUGAAAGUUUGCAGCUUAACUGUAAAAUUGGCAUUGAUACUGGUGGGCUUGAAUGCAGUGGAGGUAGGCGGAAUGUGUAGUGUAGCGGUGAAAUGCUUAGAUAUUACACAGAACACCGAUUGCGAAGGCAGCUUACUAUACUGUGAUUGACGCUGAUGCACGAAAGCGUGGGGAGCGAACAGG
rnacentral:rRNA from 1 species